UACGAAGGGGGCGAGCGUUGUUCGGAAUUACUGGGCGUAAAGGGCGCGUAGGCGGCCGAGCAAGUUAGAUGUGAAAGUCCUGGGCUUAACCUGGGGACUGCAUUUGAUACUGCUUGGCUUGAAUUCGGGAGAGGAUAGCGGAAUUCCCAGUGUAGAGGUGAAAUUCGUAGAUAUUGGGAAGAACACCGGUGGCGAAGGCGGCUAUCUGGACCGACAUUGACGCUGAGGCGCGAAAGCUAGGGGAGCAAACGGG
rnacentral:rRNA from 1 species